AUUGAACGCUGGCGGCAGGCCUAACACAUGCAAGUCGGACGGUAGCACAGAGGAGCUUGCUCCUCGGGUGACGAGUGGCGGACGGGUGAGUAAUGUCUGGGGAUCUGCCCGAUAGAGGGGGGUAACCACUGGAAACGGUGGCUAAUACCGCAUAACGUCGCAAGACCGAAGAGGGGGACCUUCGGGCCUCUCACUAUCGGAUGAACCCAGAUGGGAUUAGCUAGUAGGCGGGGUAACGGCCCACCUAGGCGACGAUCCCUAGCUGGUCUGAGAGGAUGACAAGCAACACGGGAACGGAGACACGGUCCAGACUCCUACGGGAGGCAGCAGUGGGGAAUAUUGCACAAUGGGCGCAAGCCUGAUGCAGCCAUGCCGCGUGUAUGAAGAAGGCCUUCGGGUUGUAAAGUACUUUCAGCGGGGAGGAAGGCGAUGUGGUUAAUAACCGCGUCGAUUGACGUUACCCGCAGAAGAAGCACCGGCUAACUCCGUGCCAGCCGCCGCGGUAA
rnacentral:rRNA from 1 species